UACGUAGGGGGCUAGCGUUGUCCGGAUUUAUUGGGCGUAAAGAGCGUGUAGGCGGCCAGAUAGGUCUGCUGUGAAAACUCGAGGCUCAACCUCGAGAUGUCGGCGGAAACCAUUUGGCUAGAGUCCGGAAGAGGAAAGUGGAAUUCCUGGUGUAGCGGUGAAAUGCGCAGAUAUCAGGAAGAACACCCGUGGCGAAGGCGGCUUUCUGGACGGUACUGACGCUGAGACGCGAAAGCGUGGGGAGCGAACAGG
rnacentral:rRNA from 1 species